UGUCAGUGUCACUGUCACUACCCAAUAUCUACCAUUCUGUUUGCGGGGGGCGCUGUUCGAGUAAAUAGGGGUAAAGUGGCACAAACAGCGGCCGGUGAAGAACACAAGUUAACUAACAACAACAGAGAAGAAGCGCAGAGAAUGGCGGAAAAUAAUAAAAAAACAAAUCAAAGACCCACCCGCUAGUUUCCACUCUAAAGUGUGGAGACACUUCGGGUUUUACGAGACAGUCGACGGAAAGGCACUGGAUAAAGACUAUGCAAUCUGCAAGAACUGCUUUGCAAAGAUAAAAUAUAACAGCAACACUACGAAUCUGCAAAUGCACCUCGUUCGCUAUCACGGUGAACUACUCUCAGGUGAUAAUGAGGGCAAACCAAGUCAGCCGACAAUCACUACUGCGUUCAAAGCAAAGCUCCCCUUUGGGUCGCCGAGGGCAGAGAGUAUCACUAAGUCCAUCGCCGAAUUUAUUUGCAAGGACCUUCGCCCUUACAGUGUGUAGUGUAAUAAAUGUUUAUCUGUCUAGCUGUACAGUGUUUACAUUUAAGACCAGGAGGCAGUGAGUUAUUAUGCAAAUGCAUAUUUCUUUGCACAAUGUUGGAAAUGUUGGCAUUAAUAAAUGCAUCAGAUUUCCUUAUUCCUUAUUUUUCUUUUUCAGUCACAUAUAUCGUGAUAUAUCGUUGAUGAAAUUUCUUCCAAUAUAUUGAAUAUCGUAGAUAUCGCGAAUCGUGAUAUUAUCAUUAUCGUGGGCCACAUAUCGCCACAGAAUUGAAUCGUGAGUUACCUGUAUCGUCCCACCCCUAUUGCUGACACAAACCGGUACAAACUCUUCUCUCGGUUAUUGAAGUGCCUCAUCGGACACAUACAUUAUAAAACUAUAGGUUUUUGAAUAACAAUAAAGGCAUAUAUCUUGCAUAAACAGCCUUGCCAUAAGGAUUGUGACAAAUGUGUAAAAUUAGCUUUUUUUUUUGGUUGUUCUAAUUUACUGUGUUAUGUAGUUUAAAAGCCUUUUCUGUAUUGUAAAAUGUAGGGUUGUGACGAUGAGGAAAUUUCCCCACCGGUUAAUCGACAUGUGACAACACCGGUAAUACCAGUAUCAUCUUGGGGGUGGGGGUUUCCUUUUUUUUCUGCUUUUAAAUAGCUUAUAAAUGCGUGCGUAUUAUACUUUCACUUUCAGUUUUGCGGGAAUUGGCAAUUCGGCGUCAAUUGUUUGAAUGGACGACAACGAAAGUACAAAAAAAAAAAAAAAAAAAAAAAUCACUGAUAUUAAACACAGAACUUUUAUUAACAUAACGAAAAAAAAAACACAACGCCAUUCUCUUUCUGUAAAUUCGACUCCUCACGUGAUAAAUGAAAUAUGACGCAUUGUAACCAUGCUCAGUUUUUAAUUAUAGUGCAUGCUCUCGUCUUAAGUAAAUUAUUUAGAAUUAUAUUUUCCAUUUAAUUCAAAUAAAUAUUUAAUAAAAAAACGAAUACUUAAAAAAAAAAAACAAAUGUGGGGACGGCGUCACGGUGGAAAAGUGAUGUCAAACCGGUAACACCGUCAACACCGUCUAUCGUGGCAAGCCUAGUAAAAUGGGGUUUUUACAAUUGAUCAGCAUAGAAUUCAACAAUCUUGUGGUUGGACCUCAGUCAGUCCUUUUGCAGUUGUAUCCAUCAGUGCUAUGCAGAAAAGGGAUGACUAUCACAUUGUACAGCUUGGACAAAGUUAACACAGGUUCUCGAGGUAUUCAUCCAGGACAUGACUGUUGGCAUUAUAGUUGUGGGUGACCAAAUUGAGCACCAUCAAUCUGCAGUGAUGUGUUCUUAUUAGCGUAUCAGCGGCUGUAACACGCAUCUCAUGAAAUUGAAGAAUUAGUGAAGGGCAUAGAAAUGGACAUCUUGAUUGUGACUGAGGAGGAGCAAUGGGAAAUGCUUCCAAAAGAAACCAUUGACGUUGCCAUCAUUUUUGAAGAGCGUCUUGACCUCACCGAUAUCUGUGACGUCCUGAAAGCAUUUGUGCUUUGGACAGGUCUUCUUUACAUCGUUAACAUUGAUUACCCAAAACACAUGAAGCACACUUCCGAUGUUCUCCAAAAACUUCUCAUGAACAUUGGUGGGAGCAGCUGUUCUUAGUGUGUUUACAGGCUAUGCAACAUGCUACGCCGCAAGAAAUUUAGAAUCCCUCACCUGUUGUUUUAAAUGUGAAUUAGUGAAAGGAAUGUAAAUAUGUACUGCAGUUGUUACACUGAAAUGAAAUAUCAAUGUCGGAAAUGGCUCCCAGUGCGGUUCAGGGUGGAGUUUAAGAUCCUGAUGGUUUGUGUUCAAGGCCAUUAAUGGUCUGGCCCCUGUCUACCUCGCGGAGUUGGUAGUGGUCUAUCAACCAGCCAGAACUCUGCGCUCCUCUGAACACACCGCACUGGUUAUGCCGAAGUUUAAUUACAAAAAGUUUGGAGGCCGGUCAUUUGCCGUUCUGGGUCCAAAGCUGUGGAACGCACUUCCGGAACAGCUUCGAAACAACACUGAGUUGUGUGUUUUUAAAUCACAGUUGAAGACACAUCUUUUUAGACAAGCUUUUGAUACGUAGUCACUAACUCGAUUGUUUUAUGUACAUUUGUGUUUUUAUUUAUUGUUGUCUACUGUGAGUCUUGUUUUCUCUUGGAAAGCGCCCUGGGCACCUUUUUGGUUGUUGUAAGGCGCUAUAUAAAUAAAAUUUGAUUGAUUGAUUGAUUGAAUAAACACAAUGGUUUGUAUCACAAAAAAUGUAAAAUAUUUUCUGCACAUUUAUCCAGUUAUUAACCCUCUGAGGUUGAAGACCACACCUAACCCAACCCUACAGCAGGUAAUGACUAAAGCCUUGCACAUUUAAAAGAAAUAGCUUACUUCUGUGUUGAAAAGUAAAGUGAAUAUUGGUAAUAUAGCCUAGGAGUAUCAGUAGAUUAGCAUUAGACUCUAUACACUUUUAGGGCAGAAGUGUGCCACAAAUGUUGCUUUUGGCAUAAGUCUUAUUGUUUGACUUAUAAGUGAAUUUUUUUUUUUGUUCAGUAGAAAA